ACAGCAGUAGCCGCGGGAAUCCGAAGGGUGCAAGCGUUACUCGGAAUUACUGGGCGUAAAGCGUGCGUAGGUGGUGGUUUAAGUCCGUUGUGAAAGCCCUGGGCUCAACCUGGGAAUUGCAGUGGAUACUGGGUCACUAGAGUGUGGUAGAGGAUAGUGGAAUUUCCGGUGUAGCAGUGAAAUGCGUAGAGAUCGGAAGGAACAUCUGUGGCGAAGGCGACUAUCUGGGCCAACACUGACACUGAGGCACGAAAGCGUGGGGAGCAAACAGGAUUAGAUACCCCCGUAGUCCCUGUCUCUUAUAC
rnacentral:rRNA from 1 species